GACAUGCUUACAUUGCAUGCAAUGGGGUGGAACCACAAAAAAACUUCUCUCUCUACGUCAGUCACUUUCAACAAGAUAUGUGAAGACUUGUCAGAGACUCCGGGAUGAAACGGCAAGGCUAGCUGAACUAAAAACAGAGUUACUUUGCACAGAUGAAGUGGUGUCACAGUGGCUUUCUGAUGUGAAGGAAUGGGCAGCUGGCGAGACACCAGAUACAUCUCAUGCCAGUCAAGGCACCACACACAGAGGACUUCAGCAGUCAAUUGAGGGGCUUUACCUUAGUGUGAGGCAGCGGAAGCAAACCCUUUACCGUC